UACGGGGGGGGUAAGCGUUGUUCGGAAUUACUGGGCGUAAAGGGCUCGUAGGCGGCCAACUAAGUCGGAUGUGAAAUCCCUCAGCUUAACUGGGGAACUGCGUCUGAUACUGGAUGGCUUGGAUUUGGGAGAGGGAUGCGGAAUUCCAGGUGUAGCGGUGAAAUGCGUAGAUAUCUGGAGGAACACCGGUGGCGAAGGCGGCAUCCUGGACCAACAUUGACGCUGAGGAGCGAAAGCCAGGGGAGCAAACGGG
rnacentral:rRNA from 1 species